UGAGGUCAGUGGGCACUGUGCUUGGAGAGAUGCUGGGAGUCGGCGGCUCCCUGCAACACCUGAUCCAGCAGGGGUGCUGGGACUCGGACUCCCACCGAUGUGACAAUGAGGACCUAUCCUAAGGAUACGCCAUCAUUAUCUCUACCUAGAUAGGGAUUAGCAACUUUUUUAGUCACAUGGCCGGUGUUCCUUCCUGUCCGGCAGAUGGGCUCUGGUGCAUUGACUACCACAGAUUCGCAUUGUCAUAAAUUAUGGCAGCAUAGGGGGGAAUCUAAGACCAAUGUGAAAAGACGGUCAUGGUAAACUACCCUCAUUGUAUUUUUUCUUGAAGACAUUUUGCUAGUCAUCCAACUGACUUUCUCAAUUAGAAUAACAAGGAAUCUCCGGCAUAAAAUACUGGUGACUCAUGCUUCAGCCAGCAUGAUCUGUUUAUCAUAAUCAACAAGAGUUGUGUAGGAAGCUAUUUAUAUUAAAUUGGUGUCACCAAGAAUGAAU